UCGCGCUAGAACGAACGCUGGUGGCGUGCUUAUACAUGCAAGUCGAGCGAGGCAGCAAUGCCGAGCGGCGAACGGGUGAGUAACGCGUAAGCAAUCUGCCCCAUAUCAGGAAAUACCCGUGCCAACGCGCGGUUAAUGUCCAGGAGAGUGGCUCCUUGCAUGAGGAGUUGACUAGAGAUUUAUCGGUAUGGGAUGAGCUUGCGUCCGAUUAGCUAGUUGGCGGGGCAACGGCCCACCAAGGCGACGAUCGGUAGCCGGCCUGAGAGGGUGAUCGGCCACAUUGGGACUGAGAUACGGCCCAGACUCCUACGGGAGGCAGCAGUAGGGAAUAUUGCACAAUGGGGGAAACCCUGAUGCAGCAACGCCACGUGUGGGGAAGAAGCAUUUCGGUGUGUAAACCACUGUCAUGAGGAUAGCCUAUCCGUAAGGACCUUGAUGACCUUGAGAGGAAGCACCGGCAAACUUCGUGCCAGCCGCAGC
rnacentral:rRNA from 1 species